UACGUAGGGGGCAAGCGUUGUCCGGAAUCAUUGGGCGUAAAGAGCGUGUAGGCGGCCCGAUAAGUCCGCCGUGAAAGCCCAGGGCUCAACCCUGGGAUGCCGGUGGAUACUGUCGGGCUAGAAUCCGGAAGAGGCGAGUGGAAUUCCUGGUGUAGCGGUGAAAUGCGCAGAUAUCAGGAGGAACACCGAUGGCGAAGGCAGCUCGCUGGGACGUUACUGACGCUGAGACGCGAAAGCGUGGGGAGCAAACAGG
rnacentral:rRNA from 1 species